AACAUGAUUAUGUUUUGAGUGUAGCUCUACUUUUUCAAGGAUGUUGUUCAUAGCUAUAAUGUUUUUUUAAGUAUCACAUUUUACGGAUGACUGUACCUAUAAUGUUGUUCAUAUAAGAUACAGGGCAAAGUAUUUGUGCAACCUCUGUCCCUGUCCAACGUGUUCUGCGUUGUAGGAGGAGCAAGCGGACCCCGGUCUGGUAUCAAGCCGAGCCAUGUCCAGGUUGGAGCGGUGAUGGCAGCUGCAGCGGGACGGACGACGCCGGCAACAAGCACAGUUCCUCAUCUUUGUCUCCGACAAAAAGGAUCAUCUGGUUGUCGGCACAUCUUCUAACAAAGUCACCUCCUGUGAUCCUUUUGUCGACAAGCAGCUAGACCCAAGGUUAG